CCAAGGCCGGCCGUCCAUAUUUCCUGUGGUGUAGAUCCUGCCACUCCACAGAGGUUGUUUCUCUGCCUGCCAGCCAGCUGAGCCCUCCUCAGCAAGAGAGCUGUGGACGGCUGUGCUGUGGAGUGCGUCAGAAGGGAUAUAUGCAACAUUGACGUCACUCACUUCAAAGGAAAUCUUUGUCUCCAGAUAUCCACUCUUUCCCCCUGCAGCAGACUGGAGUUUUGUUAUUAUCCCACUUUUACCUACGAGGAAACCAGUGUUACACUGUCAAGGUGGACUCUUCACUAUACGAGCCACUGGGGAAGCCCCACUAUCACAGAUGAAUAUGAGACUUGGAGCAGCUGCAGUUGGGGGAACGCCUGGAGCUCCCACAAGACCUGAAGGCAGACCCUGAGGCAGGAGCUAAGCCAAGGGAGUGUGGCUGGAGAAUGGAGCCUACCGAAGUCCAGCUGGUGACGUCCUGAAGCUGGAACCUUUCCUGGCACUGGGGGGAAAUGCAGCUGUAGCUGCCUGGCCUCGCGGCUCUCCAAGACUUGAUGCAGUCUGGCCCCCCCACCGCCACAAUCUGGAGCUGAAGGUGAUUACCCUGGUUUGCCUGAGCCCAAACUUCCAAGGACAGGCGCUGAGAUGAAGGGCCCUCAGGCGGAUUAUCAACAUCAAAGAUACUCAAAUCACCUCCACAAAGAAAAAGUUAACUGCGUGAUGACCAAACUGUAGCUAUGACAUGAGCUGCUCCAUCUUGCAGUCACAAGAACUGGCCUCAGUGAAAUGGGAACACACCUACCCUGGAACUGAAGAUUAACUGCUUAAAGUAAUCCAUCCAAGGUGAUGCUGACCCGACCACCAUGUGACCCAUUUCAAGAUGAUUGUUGGAGCUGCCUGUGCUGUUCCACAUGUAGGCCUCCACCUAAAACUCCCCAUUAGAGCCUUUUGUCCUCUAACUGACGUCUGGGAGAUGGUUUUGGAAUGCUAGUCUGCCAUCUGCCCAGGUUGGGACUUCCUGAAUAAAACAUCUUCCU